GACGAACGCUGGCGGCGUGCUUAACACAUGCAAGUCGAACGGAAAGGCCCUGCUUUUGUGGGGUGCUCGAGUGGCGAACGGGUGAGUAACACGUGAGUAACCUGCCCUUGACUUUGGUAUAACUUCAGGAAACUGGGGCUAAUACCGGAUAGGAGCUCCUGCUGCAUGGUGGGGGUUGGAAAGUUUCGGCGGUUGGGGAUGGACUCGCGGCUUAUCAGCUUGUUGGUGGGGUAGUGGCUUACUAAGGCUUUGACGGGUAGCCGGCCUGAGAGGGUGACCGGCCACAUUGGGACUGAGAUACGGCCCAGACUCCUACGGGAGGCAGCAGUGGGGAAUAUUGCACAAUGGGCGGAAGCCUGAUGCAGCAACGCCGCGUGCGGGAUGACGGCCUUCGGGUUGUAAACCGCUUUCGCCUGUGACGAAGCGUGAGUGACGGUAAUGGGUAAAGAAGCACCGGCUAACUACGUG
rnacentral:rRNA from 1 species